rnacentral:rRNA from 1 species
UGGGGAAUUUUGGACAAUGGGCGAAAGCCUGAUCCAGCAAUGCCGCGUGUGUGAAGAAGGCCUUCGGGUUGUAAAGCACUUUUGUCCGGAAAGAAAUCCUUGGCUCUAAUACAGUCGGGGGAUGACGGUACCGGAAGAAUAAGCACCGGCUAACUACGUGCCAGCAGCCGCGGUAAUACGUAGGGUGCAAGCGUUAAUCGGAAUUACUGGGCGUAAAGCGUGCGCAGGCGGUUUGCUAAGACCGAUGUGAAAUCCCCGGGCUCAACCUGGGAACUGCAUUGGUGACUGGCAGGCUAGAGUAUGGCAGAGGGGGGUAGAAUUCCACGUGUAGCAGUGAAUGCGUAGAGAUGUGGAGGAAUACCGAUGGCGAAGGCAGCCCCCUGGGCCAAAUACUGACGCUCAUGCACGAAAGCGUGGGGAGCAAACAGGAUUAGAUACCCUGGUAGUCCACGCCCUAAACGAUGUCAACUAGUUGUUGGGGAUUCAUUUCCUUAGUAACGUAGCUAACGCGUGAAGUUGACCGCCU